GUGGGGAAUAUUGGACAAUGGGCGAAAGCCUGAUCCAGCCAUGCCGCGUGUGUGAAGAAGGUCUUCGGAUUGUAAAGCACUUUAAGUUGGGAGGAAGGGCAGUAAGUUAAUACCUUGCUGUUUUGACGUUACCAACAGAAUAAGCACCGGCUAACUUCGUGCCAGCAGCCGCGGUAAUACGAAGGGUGCAAGCGUUAAUCGGAAUUACUGGGCGUAAAGCGCGCGUAGGUGGUUCAGCAAGUUGAAGGUGAAAUCCCCGGGCUCAACCUGGGAACUGCCUCCAAACCUACUGAGCUAGAGUACGGUAGAGGGUAGUGGAAUUUCCUGUGUAGCGGUGAAAUGCGUAGAUAUAGGAAGGAACACCAGUGGCGAAGGCGACUACCUGGACCGAUACUGACACUGAGGUGCGAAAGCGUGGGGAGCAAACAGGAUUAGAAACCCCAGUAGUCC
rnacentral:rRNA from 1 species